UACGGAGGGUGCAAGCGUUAAUCGGAAUUACUGGGCGUAAAGCGUGCGUAGGCGGUUCGUUAAGUCUGUUGUGAAAGCCCCGGGCUCAACCUGGGAAUGGCAAUGGAUACUGGCGAGCUAGAGUGUGUCAGAGGAUGGUGGAAUUCCGGUGUAGCGGUGAAAUGCGUAGAUAUCGGAAGGAACACCAGUGGCGAAAGCGG
rnacentral:rRNA from 1 species